ACAUAAAAUUAGAGUACCAUUUAUUUGGUAUUUGAUUGCUUUGUUUUAUAUGUGGUCUUUAUUUUGUUCAAUAAAGGCUCCUUUUUUCCAACUUCAAGAACAACUCAGUAAAAUGAAUGGGAUUGAGAGAGAGUAACUGGCCCCAAAUCACCUAGCCGGUUUCUACACCUAAGGGAGGACUAGAACUCACAAUCACCUUGUUUCUAGUCCAGCAUCUUGUUGCCAGACACAUUACAAAUAUAAUUAAAUAAUUAAAUAUGUAAUAAUGAACAUUAAAAGUAGGUGUCACAAAAUAUUCCAAUUUGCUAUUUCUGAAUUUGUAUGCUUUAUUUAUUCUAGUCCAUUAGGUUAAUUAGAUAAGAAAUGCAAAUAAAGAAGAUUCAUCGAUAUUAGCAAGACUGCUACUUAUUAGUGAGUCAUGCUACUCAAUUACAUUACUACUGUGGAAAGGAUUUUGACCAUCGUAUUAAUCCCAAUAUAGUGGAUUAUACUGGAUUAUAUCAAUAAAGUAAGAAAACAGAGUCCAUAUAUCAACAUUUAUGCCAAAGGUUUACAUCAUUUAGGUUCUGUUUUCCCCAUAAUGUGAAUGUACAAGUGCACAACUUGGUGAUGAGAACUUUGUGAUACAUGGCUUAAAGCAAACAACUGAGGUCAAUAACAAACUAGGAAGACUAGAUUGUUAAUAUAUUUUUCAGAACUAUUGUAGGUAUUCUACCUGUAGUCUCCAGAAUCAAACACAAGGAACUUCCAUUCUUUCCUACAAUCAGGGAUACAAGGACAAAAUAAAAGGUAAGCAAGGGAGCAUUGUGGUCUGGGGAAUUCAGGCUUUAAAUCAGGUCUAUUAAAAUCAUAGCCCCAAAACCAUCUCUGAGAUUUGUAGAACAAGGCAACACACAAGAUUACAGUCUGUUUUUAUCUGCUCCUUCAGGAAUAUGUGGAUAGUAUGUAGUGGCUAAACAAUGUUGUCUCAUUUUUUUGAGAGGACAGUCUGAGAGACCUUGUUCUAACAAAAGCUCAGAGCUCUGCAUGGGGUAGACAGUGGGGGACCCAGUUUCUUUUCUUAUUGAAAAAUGGAUACGGAGCCAAACACUGCUAACUCAUUAUUUCUUACAGAGCCAAGGCACAUAGCUGCAGAACAAAUUAUAAACCACAAAUCAAGUUUUGUUCGGUUCCCCAUGGAUGGACAUCAGUGCAGCCAUCCAACACUCCCAGAAGCAUAAGUAUUUCUCACCAGGACUUCCACAGAUUGCAAAAGAAGAUAUAAUAGCAGCUGUUCCAUUCUGAAGUUGCUAUCUUUGUCCUGAGAAUCUUGGGCCUUUCACAGAUGGAAAUGUAACAGGUGCAGUUGUAGCCAGAAAAAAAAAAACCAUGACGGAAAUAUCUGCAUCUGUUACUUGGCUAUCUUUUCAGGACCUUCCAUGAAAGAAUGCAUUGUAUGUCAUUAACAUUUUUCAAUAAAAGUUGUGAUCUUUCAGCUAUGGCUCUGUUCUUGCAAUUGGUGGCAGAUAUGGGUCCCUCUCACUUGUUGCUCAUUUCAGAUAUUUCCAAAUAGAUGCUUUAGCAUAAGAACUUACCUCUGUUUUGAUCAUCUUACUACUAAGAAUGUCACAAGAAAAAUGUUUUUAUAUUUGUGUGGGUGUUUCAAUGAUACUGUUAAGAAAUUAUGCUUAGUGUAUUAAGUUCUGCCUGUUGACAGAAAGCUAGAAUCUAGAUGUCAUAAAUUAAUAGAUUAAUAAAAGUAUUCUAUUGACAAAGUUUCCUUUCUAUCUGGUUCUGGCUGUUUGUGGUUAUAAUCCUACCACCCUCAUAGAGCUUUUCAUGAAAGGGAUAUUAAAUUUGCUUUGUGCUAUAUAUAGGAAACUGCAUGUUAGAUUCUGUGAUGUCAUUAUUUUGUUCUUUCCACUAGUACUUUUAGCACUUUUCAAGCAUGGGUAAAUGGCAUAGAACCCUUGUUCUAUGCCAAUUGGCAUAGGACAGUUAGCCCUUGUUGAAGGACUACUUGUUCAGCCAAUGUCUGAAGUUACGAUGGUGCUGAACAAUGGAUCCUUGUAGUAACAGCUGUUGCAGCAUCUCUACAGUCACCUGAUUGCAGUUUGGGUGCUUGGCAACUAGCUUGCAAUUACUACAUUGCAGCACCCCAUGUUAACAUGAUCACCAUGUGUGAUACCUGCUGCCAGCUUUCAACAAGCAAAGUCAAUGGGGAAGCUGGAAAGAUGUUGCAAACAGCGAUCACAUGACCACGGGAUGCUGCAACCGUGCAGUAUUCACCUAAUGACCGCAAUUGGGAUUGCUGCAACUGCUGUCAGAUGGCACAGUCAUGUGACAUCACACUUUAUGACUGUGUUGCUCAGUGAUGGAGUUGCCGGUCCCAAAAUACUAUCGUUAAGCAAGGACUAACUGUAUAGUUACAUAGGUUCUAAUAGUAUUCCCAUAUUUUUCUGUUAUUACUACUAUCACUGGAUUGUGUUAUACCUUCAUUUUCAUCUCACAUACGUUUUGUUGAAUAAAUGUCAUCUUCUUUUGCAAGAAGUUUGUCCCCCCAAGAUAACUUGACCGGGGCUGCUUUUUGUUUAGAAAGCUGUCUUCAUGAUAAAUUUAUAAUUCUCAUAGGAUACUUUUUAAAAAAAUAUUUAGAGCAAUGGCAAUUUCUCUACCUCUCUUUGUGUCUUUAUGUGCUAUCCUAGAGAAUAGGAUAGAAUCUCUUCUCUAUUCUUUUUACAUAUCUGUUACAGCUAAUGAAAAAUGCGUUCUGUAUUUUUUUAAAAAAUAAGAUAGCAUGUGAUAAAUAUUCACUGAUUUUUUUUCUUUUGAAGUUACAUUAAUUCUCCAGCUUACUCUUAAAGCUUUGUAAAUGUCCUUGAUUUACAUAAAAUAUUCAGGGGAAACAAACUAUUAUUACCAUGAUUAUUUUCUCUCUAAUGCUGAACUUCAAAUUUGAAAUUCAUUAAAUAGUUAUACGUACUGUUAACAUUUGUGUGCAAUGCAUUUUUUAUUGUUAGCUCUGCUGAAGAAAUAAACUUAUGCAUGGAACAUUAAUUUUCUGGAUGUAAUUAAAGAAUAUUGAUUACUUAUUAACUA